CGUUUUUAUUGAGGGAGUUAUGAAACAUGAAACUGCUGCUGCAAGUUACUCAGCAGGCUGUUGCUAGGUAACCACAAACCAGGCUAUUCCUUGGUAACCAAAGAGUGAGUUAGUUGGCUGAUUCCACCAACCUGGCUUGGCUGAGAGGUUGAGCAGUUCUUUCCUCUGCCUACAUCACCCAGAAUGCUGUGCGGUUCUGGAUCAGAGUUCACUAAAUAUUAUCUAUUGAUUCUGAUCACAUCCGUCCAUGUUCUUCCUGCCUUAUCCCAUUGGAGUCAUUGGGGUGCUGGUCUCCAGCUGUCAACAGGUGAGAGGCGGGGUCACCUGGUCAGGUCACCAGUCCAUCGCCAGGGCAACACAGAGACACACAGGACAAACAACCACACUCACACCUAGGGAGAAUUUAGAGAGACCAGUUAACCUGACAGUCAUGCUUUUGGACUGUGGGAGGAAGAACCCACGCAUGCACGGGGGGAACAUGCUAACUCCAUGCAGAAAGACCCCAGGCCGGGAAUCGAACCCAGGACCUUUUUGCUGCCAGGCAACAGUGUUACCAACUGCUCCACUGUCACAAUAGACAUAAUCACAUGUCUAUUGUGACAUGCAGUAUAUUAUUGUUUUUUUCUCCCCUCCAGGGGGUCUUUUGUCGGCUCUAGUGUCCGUUAAAUGACAGUAGGCUGACAGGAAAGGAGAGGGGGGAAAACAUCUGGGAAUCGAACCCGCGACGGCCGCGUCGAGGACUCAAGGCCUCCAAAUGUGGGUCACGGUAUCCGCUAUGCCACCACGGCACGCCCCAUAUAUUAUUAUUAAAUGAUUGAAAUUAACUAUAGUUGAUAAAAAAUAGUUUUAAUCUGCAGGAGUCAGAAACCAUGUUGACUCCAGAAAACCAAUUAACCUGGUAGUUAGCUAAGUGGGAGUUAGCUAGGUGGGAGUUAGCUAGGUGGUAGUUAGCUAAUGGUAGUUAGCUAAGUGGUAAUUAGCUAGCCCGGUGGUGACCUAAGCUAUGUGGCUAGCUAUGUAGUAGUUAGCUAACUGGUAGUUAGCUAAGUGGGAGUUAGCUAGGUGGUAGUUAGCUAAGUGGUAGUUAGCUAGCUUAGUCAUCCAGCGGCCUGCUGUGUUUUGAAGUUAAAAAAAUACUUAAAGUUGGCAGGAAAUUGUAAAACACCACCAGGUAAUUAUGUGUUAUUGGAAGACAUUAUUAAUAAUACCUAGACACCAACUAUAAAGUCUUAAAA